GAUGAAGACGCAGCGAAAUGCGAUAAGUAAUGUGAAUUGCAGAAUUCAGUGAAUCAUCGAAUCUUUGAACACACAUUGCGCCCGUCAGUAUUCUGGCGGGCAUGCCUGUUCGAGCGUCAUUACGCCCCUCAAGUCCCCUGUGGACUUGGUGUUGGGGAUCGGCGAGGCUGGUUUUCCAGCACAGCCGUCCCUUAAAUUAAUUGGCGGUCUCGCCGUGGCCCUCCUCUGCGCAGUAGUAAAACACUCGCAACAGGAGCCCGGCGCGGUCCACUGCCGUAAAACCCCCCAACUUUUUAUAGUUGACCUCGAAUCAGGUAGGACUACCCGCUGAACUUAAGCAUAUCAAUAAGCGGAGGA
rnacentral:misc_RNA from 1 species